GAUCAUGGCUCAGGAUGAACGCUAGCGACAGGCUUAACACAUGCAAGUCGAGGGGCAGCGGGGAGUAGCAAUACUUCGCCGGCGACCGGCGCACGGGUGAGUAACACGUGUGCAACCAACCCCGUACCGGGAGAUAACCCGCGGAAACGUGGACUAACAUCCCAUAAGACUCUAGAGCCGCAUGGCUUUGGAUUUAAAAUUCCGGUGGUACGGGACGGGCACGCGCGACAUUAGGUAGUUGGCGGGGUAACGGCCCACCAAGCCG
rnacentral:rRNA from 1 species